rnacentral:lncRNA from 1 species
CUAGCUCAUUCUCCAGAUGUCAAUAUUUGAUGACUUAUUGAUGUACUUUUUUUAUUUUAAAUCUUUUAUAAUUUUAAUUGAAUAUAAUAAAAUAAUAAAAUUUAUUUAUCAAUUUAUUGUAUAAAUUUUUUAUUUUUAUUUUUUAAUUUAUAAAAAUAUUAUACAUAUAAAUUAAAAAUAUAUAUUCAUAAAUUUUUAAAAAAAAAUAUGAUUAAAUUGUUAGUGAUAAAAUUUUUUGCGAUGAAAGAUUCAUCACAAAAAAUAUUUUACUAAUAUAAUUUAAUUCUUUAAUAAAUAUAUAAUUAACA